UCUUCUCUCUCUCUCUCUCUCUCUCUCUCGAUGGCUCAAGAAACCCAUGCCAGAUCUAUCACCAGAUCCGUUUCAUGAGCAGAUCUGUGAGGAUUCCACCGCCUAUUCCCCUCCGCCUUGUUAUGCUGCUUCAAUCGCGGCUUCUCCUUCAUUCCAGGAAUCGUCAACCUAAAAUCAAAGCUUUGAUCUUGAUUUUGUUUUUAGGGCUUUGCUGAUUUCAGGCAAUCUAGGGUUUUGUAAGUGGAGAUUCUGGCGAUAUAGGGCUUAAACAAGCUUUAUCUGGCAACUUGAUGUCGAAGGCACCAAGGGAUCCACAGAUUUGAACAAGGGAUCCACAGAUUUGCUGGAGAAUGGCCGGAAUCAGGUGACUGGCUGUCCAUGAAUCUCUCUGGAAUCAUGUUUCAGAUGAAGACAUUGAUAGAACAAAACCAAGACUCAAAAUCCUGCACUCAGUCAUUCACCAAAGCUUCUAAAUAAAGCACAUGUUGAUUCUGAUUUAAGAAUGAGAAGAAAUCCAAAAGGAAAUCGGAAUCGAAGCUGCAAGUGAGUUAACAAUACAUAUUCAUUUUAUGAUCAAACCAACUUGAUGUGAAAGGCUGUCGGGGCGUUUAUGCUUCUUUUGACAAAUAUGCUGAAGUGGAACGGCUUGAGGGUGACAAUAAAUACCAUGCUGAAGCACAUGGGUUACAGGAUGCUAAGAAGGGUGUGUUGUUUAAUGAUUUCCCACAUGUUCUUCAACUCCGGCUAAAGCGUUUUGAAUAUGACUUCACGAGUGAUACAAUGGUAAACAUAAAUAAUCGGUACGAAUUUCCACUUGAGCUCGACCUAGACAGGGAGAAUGGGAAAUAUUUAUCUCCUGAUGCCGAUAAGUGUGUCCGGAAUCUUUAUACGCUUCACAGUGACGCUGUCGAAGACAAAGAAGAAAGGGAGAGAGCAUAAAGAGAACAUUGUGAACUCCAUUCGGGAGGCUGUAGAGCAAUAUAAUUCCAUUUAUGGUUUUAGCUUUGAGAACAUGAGGAAUAUUAAGUUUAAAUAUUAAGUUUUAAUUUGAUGAAUAUUUACCUAUGACAUUUACAAUUGCAGGGCUCCUCAGAUUUACUUCCAUAAAGGAACAGUCAAGAAUUUAGAGUCGGAAGUCGCAAGGGCUAGCAAGCUAAAAUGCACCAGUUGCGGUAAAAAGGGAGCCGUUCUUGGGUGCUACGUGAAAUCAUGCCAACUAACUUACCAUGUGCCGCGUGCAUACGACA